AACGAACGCUGGCGGCAUGCCUAACACAUGCAAGUCGAACGAGACCUUCGGGUCUAGUGGCGCACGGGUGCGUAACGCGUGGGAAUCUGCCCUUGGGUUCGGAAUAACAGUUGGAAACGACUGCUAAUACCGGAUGAUGACGUAAGUCCAAAGAUUUAUCGCCCAAGGAUGAGCCCGCGUAGGAUUAGCCAGUUGGUGAGGUAAAGGCUCACCAAGGCGACGAUCCUUAGCUGGUCUGAGAGGAUGAUCAGCCACACUGGGACUGAGACACGGCCCAGACUCCUACGGGAGGCAGCAGUGGGGAAUAUUGGACAAUGGGCGAAAGCCUGAUCCAGCAAUGCCGCGUGAGUGAUGAAGGCCUUAGGGUUGUAAAGCUCUUUUACCCGGGAUGAUAAUGACAGUACCGGGAGAAUAAGCUCCGGCUAACUCCGUG
rnacentral:rRNA from 1 species